UGAAGGCAAGGAGUUUGUGACUUUUGUUCAUCUCUUUAUCACCAGUAUGAGGAAUAGUGACAGGUAUGCUAAGAUAGGAAAGCUAAAAGCAGACUCAUGGGGUAUUCCUGCAGCUGCAGAAAGAUGUAUGGGAACAGACACACAACUCUCCCUCCCAGAUGAGCACAACAAAGAAACACAGAAGCAGUCCAAGCCUCUGAUAAGCUCUCCCACCCUGAAUCCUUAAAGAAACUGUCUGUAAGAGAGUGUGGCUCUGACCUAACUCAGCCAGAAGCCCCUCUCAGGUUUGUUUUCUAAAAUAAACCUGUCAUUGUUGACUGUUGAGCCAC
rnacentral:lncRNA from 10 species